GUGGUAACGCGGAAGUGCGCCGGGCCGUGGAGCGGCUGCGAGCGCGGGUCGAGGUGAGCCGGGCAGGGCUGCGCUCCGCUCCGCUCCGCUCCGCUCCACUCCACUCUGCUCGGUGUCCCGCGUCGGCCUCCUCCGCGCGGAUGGCGGCGGCGGCGGAGGCGGCGGCUGAGCCGCUGGUGAGCGGCCUGGCGCGGCUGCUGCAGGACACAGGAGACCUGGUCCUGGACGGCUCCAGCACGCUGACGCUGCUCACCCCCACGCUGCAGCACCUGACGCGGGUCUUCGAGCAGCACCUGGGCUCCCGCAACCAGCACCGCGGCUUCGUGGCCCUGCCCUCGCACCCGGCCGAGACCACCGCCAUCCUCCAGGCGCAGUUCCUCUUCGACAUGCUGCAGAAAACGCACUCCCUCAAGCUCAUUCAUGUUCCAAACUGUGCUCUACAAUCUACUGUGAAGAUAUUCCCUUUCAAGUCCCUCCGGCAUCUGGAAUUGAGGUCUGUCCCUCCGCAUUGCCUCCGGGGUCUGCGAUUUGUCUAUUCUCAGCUGGAAUCUUUAACCUGCUCCAAAUGCGUCAGUACACUGGAGGAAAUCAUUUCAGCAUGUGGUGGAGAUCUGAGCUGUGCUCUCCCCUGGUUGGAACUGCAGACGGUCAACUUCAGCUAUAACUCCAUCACUGCCUUGGAUGACUCACUGCAAUUACUGAAUGCACUUAGAGUCUUGGAUUUGAGUCACAACAAGGUCCAAGAUUGUGAGCACUAUUUAACGACCCUUUCAGAACUUGAGUACCUCAAUCUGGCUUAUAACUUCCUGUCCAAAGUGCCAAACCUUGGCAUCUUCAGCCAAUCCAAGCUGCUGACUCUGAUCUUGCGCAACAACGAACUUGACAGCAUUAAUGGGGUUGAACAGCUGGUGAAUCUUCAGCACCUGGAUGUGGCCUAUAACCUGCUGCUGGAACAUGCCCAGUUGGCACCACUGUCCACUCUACACUAUUUAAAUAAACUGCAUCUAGAGGGAAACCCAUUAUGGUUCCAUCAAAACCACCGAUCUGCAACCCUUGUACACGUAUCUCCCAGGGCAGCCUCCUCCAAUUUCCUCUUGGAUGGAGAGCCACUUUCUUCCUCGGACCUAAUGCACCUUCCAAAAUUAGUGCCAAGUGUGUCACAGUCCAUCCACACUUCUACCUCAGAGAAGACCAUACUGGACCGUAAUGCAUUGGACAGUUCCUGUGCUGCAGACUUCAGUGACAGCCAGUCCCCAGCUGAGAAUGUGGCUGUGAGGCUCCCUCGAAAGAAAGGCAAGGGAAAAGUCAAAGUGCGAAGAGCAAGCAUUUCAGAGCCCAGUGACACAGAACAUGAAUCACAGGCUUUACCUUUCUCUGCUGGUCUGGUUCUACAGCAUCAGAAGGAGAUGGAGCGCAUGGACAGCUUCAGAGAUCGCUUUGGUGUUGACUGGCUGCAGUACAAGAGACUGGAGGAGCAUGACCAAGUACCUGUCAUCUGCCGUAGCCGUUCCGCUGAUGAGACCACAGGCAGGCCUGCAGAAGUGGAUUUGCAGAGUGAGAGCUUUGACCCAAAACAAGUAAAACCCCAAUUAUCCCCAAAAGAAUCCUCUCCUGCUUUCCACAAUGCUGGGGCAGAAGAAGAACCUGAAGUACAGCCAGGUGAGCCUCCGGGAGGAGAACAGAGAGAAGAGGAGGCAGAUGAGCUAAUGUUGGGAGAGGAAGAAGAUGAGAAGCCAGAAGUGGACCUUUGCCAGCCAGUGCUUGUGAGCCAAAUAGAAGGUGAAGGAGACCCAGAGUCAGACUGGAUCUUCCUGCGGGUCACAGCUAGGCAUGUGAUUGAGGUGGAACUGAAAGCUGCCAGAGUCCUCCACAAGCUGGAGUUGAAAUGCUUGCAGAAGAUAGAGACCUCUGAGAUGACCUGGAAGAGGAUGGAUCUGGAGCGAGUUUUCCCUGUCCUUACAUUGCACUUCACCUACAUUCGCAAGGACCGGCAGAAGCGCAAAUAUGUGGUGCUGGAUGACUGUCCGGAGCAGUGUCUGCAGUGUGUGCUUGAAGUGUUGUCCCCAGUUGUGGAAGAGAAUUGGCGAAAUCAGGACCAGGAGAAGGAAUCCCUGAGGCUCCAGUGUCUGAAAUGCAAACAUGAGUUUUUGCAGUCCCUGGCUCCCUGGCAGCAAGGUCCUUAUCCUGCAGAGACUGGAGACACCAAAAAUUUGGAGACACUAGUUGCCUUAAAUCAAGAUGCUUCAGCAGCUGGUGAACCCAUAGCCUGUCCCAGUUGUUCCAGUGACCACGUGGUAAUCCUGCCUUCAGAAGUAAGCUCCAGCACGCCUGUGCCACCCAGCCACGAUGGCACAAGUGAGGACCUGUCAGACUCUGCCCUGGAGGGAGGCAGCCAGCAGGAGGGCCCAGAGGAAGUGCCUGCUCUGCCCAGGGAGAGUGGGAAGUUCUACAUCGGUGGGGAAGACAGCUUGGAGAUGGAUACCAGCAACAGCACCAGGACCCCAGAGCUGAGUGGCGAGCAUGACAGCACUAUCCAGUCCAGCUCCCACAGUACAGAUGGAGGCUAUGGGAAGAAGGAGCAGGGCAUGAAGAGCCAGUACUUGUCCCUCAGCCACAGAGACACCAAUGGGGGCAGCUUGAUGGGGAGUAACCGUUACAGUGCUUCUCGUGGACCCACUUCUUCACAGCUCUCUAUGACCUCUGACUCAGAGGAAACAUGGAACCUCAGUCCCUCUGCAAACAGCGCGCUGAACAAAAGGGACUUCCGUUCUGUGGAUCAUCGCCUGAAGCUGUACCUGGAUAUGGAGGUCUUUGAGGAGAAUGAUGAGGAGUUCCAGUGCUUCCUCAAGGUAACCAUGGUGAAGUUUGGCCGACAAGGAGAGUUCCUCUCAAUUCUGGUUGCCUCUAACCUCAGGAUCUAUGUGCUGGAAGUUACUGGGGUUAUCAGGGGACAACCUGCAGACUGGCUGAAGAAGGAUGACUCUCACUACCUGUCUGAUAUUUCCCAUCUGGAAGUGGGACUUUGCCACCAGAGCUUGCGAAUGGAGUUUGAGAACCCAAAAGCCUCCUACAAUCUGCUGAUCCGGAGCCAAAGUUGCUGUGACCAGUUCCUGCAGACCCUGACAUAUCUCAUGCAAGAGCUGCCUUCCAAGCACAGGAGUAAGGUGAAGGAAAUCCCCGCUGUGGAAAUGAAUCCUCAACAUUGGCUCUGGCCUCUGCUGGACUCCAAGAACACUGAUUCUGCAGCUGCAGGUGGCACUUGUUUCUUCUACCUGCUGGCCUACCUGAUUCAAGAGUACAGUGCCCCAAAGUGGACACAGUUCAAGCUGAGGCCUUGCUGCCAAAUAGACAGGACUAAUUGAACAGCCCAUCUCUGAUUCUCCUACUAAUUCCCAAGAGUGAAAUGUGACAAGAAAAGCAACAUGCUGCUGUAGCAGUUUGUGAUUCCCUGUAACCUCAGCCAGUUCCGUGCAUCUGACUUAUUCCAAAAUUCUAGUGAUUUUCAUUUGCAUCCACUGGAAGCAACUGGGUGAUAUUUAUACUCCCUCCAAAACUGUCCUGAUUUCUGCUGUAUUUAUGACAUGUCCCACCUUUGUAUUUAACUUUAUUUACACCGUGUUCCAUCCAUCAGCUCUACAGGAAGGCAAAUUCAGGCCAAAAAAAGGUGGCCUUUUAGCUGGAGCUGCUGACUUUUAAAUAAGGAAUAGCAGGUUGUUGAAGAGGUCAGAGUACUGAAGUUCCUUUUCCUGCCUCACAUGAGGAUACUGGCUGGACAAGGCUAGCUGGGUGUCAGUCUUUUGUGUGCAUGCUCUAACAAUGAGCUUGGUCAAACCCAGGUACAUUUAUCUACCCUUCUUUAGUCUGGAAGCUGGAUACUGCUGUUCACCCAGUUACUGUUGCUGGAAAGGAUUUCCCUAGGGAAGGAGUGGAAAGCAAAGCUGGUUCUGUGGUGACUCAGGCUCCGAGCAAAGCCUCUCAUUCCCUCGUAUCCUUUUAGGGGCAUCUGCUUCCCCUGUGACCCUGCUGAGCACACGAAGCAUGCUGUUUCUGCUGGAAGAAAAUCACCAGUGGCAGGUGCAACCCCCCUUGGAUGCAGACCAUGGGGCAGAGAUGCCUUCCAGGAGCAACAUCCAGUUGAAGGAGAAGCAGCCGAUCACCAGUAUUAGCAGUGUCAUAACCUAUCGCCUCUGUCCUUGCGACAUCAAGUUGAUGCUUUAUGAUGAGGUGCUGAAGGUGGAGAGCACUUGGCACAUCCGCACAGAGUGCCCCGAGCUCCUGGUAGAGCUGGUGGAGUGGAUCCGCAGGCCCUGGGAGGAGAUGUUCUCUAUUGAGCUACGGAGAGCUGUGUAUGAGGGACUGGAGUGAGCUUGCCAGCUGUGGGCAGGCAGGACCUGGAGUCACGAGUGCUGCUGUGCUGGCAGUGGUGCACAAACGUGUCCCCUCCCACCUGAUCUUGCUGUCCUGUGGCCUUUGCUUUCUACUCUAGUCUUGCCCCUGACCCUUUCUGGUGAGGAGGAGGGGAGCACACAAUGGUCCAGACUUUGCACAGUCACUCACCUGCACUGGGCUGGCCGUGGAAGGAGGCGGUUGGAGAUGUUCCUUGUAAUGCUGUGUAAGCUACACAGAAUUUUAACUUGGUGGUGUUUGCUAGUCUCCUUCGGGAUAGUACGAAGUGUUACUGAAGAGGGGAGCUGAGCCAGAGAGUGUUCAAUGGGCUGCGGUGUGUCUCAGGCAAAUCAGCAGGCCGGAGGCAGUUGGAUGCUGUGGUCUUUCUAGCAGAUGUAUUUGCUGCCUUCCUAGCUGUCUCAGAACAGCUGCCAGUGUCUGCUGAUGAUUCUUUCUUUUCUUUUUCUUUCUCCCUCUUCUUUUAUCCACAGCUUCCCAAAAGCUCCCUGCUUCAAACAGGAGCUUGACUGCACAAAGGGAUAAGGCAUAUGUUGUACUCUUAACCCCACAGAGAGCCCUUACCUGCCUGCCUGGCAGGGCAUGGCUCAGUCUGCUGCUGUAGUCCUUCACUGUCACUGGGGAGGGAGGGGAGCUGGGAGGCUCUGCCCACAGAAGUGUGUUGCUCAUUACUUAGGGGGUCAGGACCCUCACAGACACUGGCACGUAAAAGCGAGGCUUAGGCUUUUCUGAGCAGUCCAAAAGUAAGAGUCUAUUUUAACAUGAGUUUUACUAUUUUCUAUUGUAAUAAAAAAGCUUAUAUUUAUUGAA